UAGCUAAAUGUAUAUAAACAAGGUAGUUAACUGGAUGGCAGUACCUGCUGUGGACGCACUGCAGGGUUUCUGCACGGCUCCACGUAGUGUGAGAAUAGACACCUCCAAAACGUCUCGCUCUCAGAAAAGCGUCUAAAAAGUUCUGCUCAGGUUUAUACAGGAAAGAUCUCUGAGCAAAUGCUCCACGUUAACCUAGUUCAGCUUCGUCUUCAUCCAUAAUCUCCACAAACAACAAGCUCUUUUAUGCUAGUUAUGUACCUGGGCUCUUCACCAGCCAACCUUGUGACGUCACCAGUGCUGCACGGG